AUUGAACGCUGGCGGCAGGCUUAACACAUGCAAGUCGAGCGGAGAGAGGUAGCUUGCUACCGAUCUUAGCGGCGGACGGGUGAGUAAUGCUUAGGAAUCUGCCUAUUAGUGGGGGACAACAUUUCGAAAGGAAUGCUAAUACCGCAUACGUCCUACGGGAGAAAGCAGGGGAUCUUCGGACCUUGCGCUAAUAGAUGAGCCUAAGUCGGAUUAGCUAGUUGGUGGGGUAAAGGCCCACCAAGGCGACGAUCUGUAGCGGGUCUGAGAGGAUGAUCCGCCACACUGGGACUGAGACACGGCCCAGACUCCUACGGGAGGCAGCAGUGGGGAAUAUUGGACAAUGGGCGCAAGCCUGAUCCAGCCAUGCCGCGUGUGUGAAGAAGGCCUUAUGGUUGUAAAGCACUUUAAGCGAGGAGGAGGCUACUUUAGUUAAUACCUAGAGAUAGUGGACGUUACUCGCAGAAUAAGCACCGGCUAACUCUGUGCCAGCCGCCGCCGUAAGAC
rnacentral:rRNA from 1 species